GAGUAAUAAAAAACCAACACACACACACACACACACACACUAUAUCUCACAUAAGCAGCACUUGAUAAAUUAUGGAACAUAGGCAAAUGAAGAGAUGAUGAACACAGACAUAAACGCACCAAAUGUAAGUGAAGGCCAUCAGCCAGGUAAGCUUUUUUGCUUAUGUUUCAGCAUGCUUGCUAUUUUUGUCAGUGUGUAUUCAUCAUGAAAGUUGAAUGGCUAUUUGUGUCCACAAAUUAGACAAUAACACCGGGUAGUUGUCAAAUUAAACGAUCAACUCCUGCAGUUCCACUCCCCACUUGACCGGCGCGUGCUACAGAGAGUCGAUCGUCAUGUAAAGCACACAAAAUGGAAGAACCUGCAGCAUACAAGCCCAUUCCUGCAUCUCAUCAACCACGGUACACCUCUAGAUACCUGUGGAGCAAUCAUGGGAAAACCGUUAAAGUUAUACAGUCUCAUAAUUUGUGUAUGAUUCACAUAGUAAACACUAGCUUCACCAUUGUGGAAAUUGUACAAAAAACUCCAAAGUAGUGAUAUUGGGGAGAAAACAGUAACAGAAACAGAGAACACAAAUACUCCUUCUGUUCACAAAUGUAAGAUCUUUUAACCUUUUUCUGAAUCAGAUAUAUAUAGAUGCGUUUUAGUGUGUUUGUUCACUCAUUUCAAUCCGUAUGUGGUCGAUAUUGAAAUAUCCAAAACGUCUUGCAUUUGUGAACGGAGGGAGUAUGUAAUAUGCAGUGCGGACUUUCAGCUUCUAGAGUAAUAAAAACAGAGAAUGCAAAUAGGUAAUAUGCAAUGUAACUCUAGACACCUGGGCAGAUUUUUUAGAGGAAAAAGGCUCUCACCGAGGCUCCAUUUCCGCUGCUGAAAACAAAAUAGCCUCACAAGCACUACUCAUCGACAGGAAGACCUGAGAGCAGAUGUUCAGCCAUGAAGCAUACAAAAUGGAAGAACCUACAUACUACAGCAAAGAAUCCUAUUCCUGCAUCUCAGCAACCAGAAUACAAUUCUAGACACCUGUGGAGCGAUCAAUAUCAUUAGUAAAACCAAUUUGCCAUUUCAUUCAUGGAGAAGUGGUUAGAGUAAUACAACCCCAAAUUUUUCACAUGAUCCAAACAGCAGAGAGGGGAAGAAAACAUGAACAAAUAGAAGAGAAGGUAGCUGGGAGAAGGAGUGAUGAAGGGAAUGGAAAGCGGCUGAGGAAGGGAUGAGAGAGCAAGGCCUGGAGGAAAUAUCCAACAUGCCAAUAAAGCAGGAUGGGAGGCGGCCAGGUGGGCAACAGCUGAGCUAAGGGCCAUUGAGAGUAUCUUGAGUCCUCGCUUGGAAUUGGUACUUGAGAAAUUAUCGCAAAAAGGAUAUCAAUAUACUCCCUCCGUUCACAAAUAUAAGAUGUUUUAGAUAUUUCAAUAUGGACUACAUACAGACUGAAAUGAGUGAACAAACACACUAAAACGAGUCUAUAUACAUCCGAUUCACAAACAUCUUAUAUUUGUGACUGGAGGGAGUAUUUAUUUAAAACGAACAUUUCAGAUACCUCAACGCACGUACAGAAGACAAGCUUACCUGCUCAACCAAUACACCAUAAUAACAUACUGAACCAGACAAUCAUCUUAUGUGUUGUGCAAAAGUUCAGCUCCAUUGUGUCCACCACCAAUGCUUGUUUCUACAAGCAUUAGAAGUCAAACAACCAAUGAAAUUCCAAUGGAAAACUAACUAAAUACGGGAAGGCAUCAAGAAACUCGAAGGUGCAAUUUUAGACGAAAAAAAACAACAAGUGAGCUUUGAUACAACAUUAACAAAUCCUAGCAACAUAAGUAAUUAUGCCUAUUCGGAUUUAGUCUGUUUUCAAAUAAAUUUAGCCUGAAAAGAUGAAAUAAGCUCAGUUUAUUUAAAAGGGAACGAUUUGAUUGGCCACUCGCAGUUGGCCUCUCCUAUAAGUGAUAAGCAAGCAAUUGUUCUAUCAAAUUUAAACCUAGUCAUUAUUACAGCAGGACUCUCCUAGAAGUGAUACAAUAAGCAAUUGAUUAUAAAUUUUAACUAAGUCAUUGUUACAGAUUUACAGGUUUUUAGCAAGAUUAGCACAAAUAUUGAAUGGUAGAAGCAUAAGUUGCUUUCAGCUUCCAAAUGUACACAUUAAGCUAUCUAGUUGACAUUCUAGUUGGUUCAAGCUAGUUUUUCAGGCAGUCGUCUUCAACUUCCAACUGUUAAGUUCUCAUUAUGAGAAAAAAAAAGUGUACUGGAGAUAUGAACUAGCACUGCCACCAUACACUUUUUACAUAUGUCAACAGGCAUGUAGCAUUGAAAUUCAGUGCAAUUAUUAUGCAAAGC
rnacentral:lncRNA from 1 species